rnacentral:rRNA from 1 species
UGUGCGCGAGUCGUUGGGCCUUGCAAACCCAGAGGCGUAAUGAAAGUGAAGGAGGCAUCCUGCUUUCCGAGGGAGGAUGGGCGGCCCCGCGAGCAAUCGCGACCGCCCCGCACUCCCGGGGCGUCUAUCGCUCACUGCGAGCGGAGGCGCACCCAGAGCGCACACGUUGGGACCCGAAAGAUGGUGAACUAUGCUCGGCGAGGACGAAGCCAGGGGAAACCCUGGUGGAGGUCCGUAGCGAUUCUGACGUGCAAAUCGAUCGUCGGAGCUGAGUAUAGGGGCGAAAGACUAAUCGAACCAUCUAGUAGCUGGUUCCCUCCGAAGUUUCCCUCAGGAUAGCUGGCGAUCGUGUUCUCGAGUCUCAUCCGGUAAAGCGAAUGAUUAGAGGUCUUGGGGUCGAAACGACCUCAACCUAUUCUCAAACUUUAAAUGGAUGAGAACCCCGGCUUUCUUGAAAGAGUGAAGCCGGGGCUCGGAUCGGAUUGCCAAGCGGGCCAAUUUUGGUAAGCAGAACUGGCGCUGUGGGAUGAACCAAACGGGGAGUUAAGGCGCCUAAAUCGACGCUCAUCGGACACCAUGAAAGGCGUUGGUUGCUUAAGACAGCAGGACGGUGACCAUGGAAGUCGGGAUCCGCUAAGGAGUGUGUAACAACUCACCUGCCGAAGCAACUAGCCCUGAAAAUGGAUGGCGCUGUAGCGUCGUGCCUAUACUCCCCCGCCAACGGCAAACCGGGCGGCCCGUUGACUCGGGACGCGCCGUUAAGCUUGGUGAGUUAGGAGGGUCCGCGGCGAUGUGCGUAGAAGGUCUGGGCGUGAGCCCGCUGGACCGCCGANNNNNNNNNNNNNNNNNUUACUUACUCGGUUGGGCGGAGGGCGUCCGUCGAGGGCCUUCGGGCCCCGGCGCGACGGUCUUCUAGCUCUAAGCGCAGGGGCUGGCGUGGGCCUUCCGUCACCGCCCGUCAGUGUCCUCCCGGCUCCGGCGUCCGCGCCGGUCGGCCGGGUGGGGGCCGGGCGGCGCGGGGUCUCGGUCGCGCUGUCUGCGCCAACACACUCUUCAGCGUGAUCCGAUCCGAGGACACUAUCAGGUUGGGAGUUUGACUGAGGCGGUACAUCUGUCAAACGAUAACGCAGGUGUCCUACGGCCAGCUCAGCGAGGACAGAAACCUCGCGUAGAGCAAAAUGGCAAAUGCUGGCUUGAUCACGAUGCUCAGUGCGCAUAGGGACUGCGAAAGCAGGGCCUAUCGAUCCUUUUGGCUUGAAGAGUUUUCAGCAAGAGGUGUCAGAAAAGUUACUACAGGGAUAACUGGUUUGUGGCGGCCAAGCGUUCAUAGCGACGUCGCUUUUUGAUUUUUCGAUGUCGGCUCUUCCUAUCAUUGCGGAGCAGAAUCCGCCAAGCGUCGGAUUGUUCACCCGCCAAUAGGGAACGUGAGCUGGGUUUAGACCGUCGUGAGACAGGUUAGUUUUACCCUACUGAUUACUUGUGUCUUAGCGACGGUAAUCCUGCUCAGYACGAGAGGAACCGCAGAUUCGGACAUUUUGUACACGCACUCGGCCGACAGGCCGGUGGUGCGAAGCUACCAUCCGUGGGAUUAUGCCUGAACGCCUCUAAGGCCGAAUCCCGCCUGGACGCUAAGAUAUCCCCUCCAGGGUCCCGUCUGUCGAAAGGCGCAAAACAAUGUGACACUGUAGGCGGUCGGCCCCUCUCGGGGGGCCGGCCGUCGCACGCACCCAGUUGCCGCGGCGGCCCUCGCGCGGAGAGGCCCGAGUGACAAGCAAGGGCCUCCCCCGGUCGCCGCGCGUAACAACGGUCACCUUUGGGAGUUCGACGGCGGGUCCCGGAAUCGUCUGCACACGACUUAGGUACCGAAGCGGGGUGUUGUACUCGGGAGAGA